GAUGAACGCUGGCGGCGUGCUUAACACAUGCAAGUCGAACGAAGUGGCGAACGGGUGAGUAACGCGUAAUCAACCUGCCCUUCAGAGGGGGACAACAGUUGGAAACGACUGCUAAUACCGCAUACUGAAGGAGGGGAGUGCGGCGGUUUAGCUAGUUGGGGGGGUAACGGCCCACCAAGGCGAUGAUCAUUAGCCGGGCUGGGAGGAGGAACUGCCACAUUGGGACUGAGAAACGGCCCAGACUCCUACGGGAGGCAGCAGUUGGGAAUCUUCCGCAAUGGGCGGAAGUCUGAAGGAGCAACGCCGCGUGAGUGAUGACGGCCUUCGGGUUGUAAAGCUCUGUUAAUCGGGACGCGGUACCGGAAUAGAAAGCCACGGCUAACUACGUGCCAGCAGCCGCGGUAAUAC
rnacentral:rRNA from 1 species